rnacentral:tRNA from 1 species
GGGCGACUGGCUCAAUGGCAGAGCGACUGGUUUACAUCCAGUAGGUUGUAGGUUCGACUCCUACGUCGCCCA